rnacentral:tRNA from 2 species
GGAGAGGUGCCGGAGUGGUCGAACGGGGCGGUCUCGAAAACCGUUGAGCCUUCACGGGUUCCGAGGGUUCGAAUCCCUCUCUCUCCGCCA